AAAGGUGAAAUUAUUAUAUUUUGUAAUAUUAAAAAAGAAGCUAAAAAGAUUUAAACAUAAACUAGGAUUAGAUACCCUACUAUAUUAAAAUUUAAUUUUAUAAGCUCAAAGAUUUGAAGGUAUGCUCUUAAAAUUUAAAGAAUUUGGCGGUAAUUUAUUUCUUAUCAGAGGAACCUGUUUUUAAAUCGAUACACCACGUAAAAUCUUACUUGAGUUUGUAUACCAUCAUUAGCAGAUAAUUUUUAGAGAAGUAAUUGUUGGAAAUAAAUUAUUAAAUAAAUUAGAUCACGGUGCAGCUGAUAAAUAAGUUAAAAUGGGUUACAAUAAAUUUUAUUUAUAUGGAGUAGAUUUUAUAAAGGAGGAUUUGAUUGUACGUAAAUUUAAUAAGUUAACGAGAUAAAAGCUCUAAAUUAUGUACAUAUCGCCCGUCGCUUUC
rnacentral:rRNA from 1 species